UACGGAGGGUGCGAGCGUUAAUCGGAAUUACUGGGCGUAAAGGGCGCGUAGGCGGUGGGUUACGUCUGCCGUGAAAUCCCCGGGCUCAACCUGGGAAUGGCGGUGGAAACGGGCUGACUGGAGUAUGGGAGAGGGUGAUGGAAUUCCAGGUGUAGCGGUGAAAUGCGUAGAGAUCUGGAGGAACACUAGUGGCGAAGGCGGUCAUCUGUCCCAAUACUGACGCUGAGGCGCGAAAGCGUGGGGAGCAUACAGG
rnacentral:rRNA from 1 species